CUGCACGCGCGCUACACUGAAGGAAUCAGCGUGUGUUCCCUACCCGAAAGGGUUGGGAAACCCGUUGAACCUCCUUCGUGAUGGGGAUUGGGGAUUGCAAUUAUUCCCCAUGAACGAGGAAUUCCCAGUAGGCGCGAGUCAUAAGCUUGCGUCGAUUACGU
rnacentral:rRNA from 1 species